rnacentral:rRNA from 1 species
UACAGAGGUCUCAAGCGUUGUUCGGAUUCAUUGGGCGUAAAGAGCUCGUAGGCGGCUCAGUAAGUCGGGUGUGAAACCCCCAGGCUCAACCUGGGGACGCCACCCGAUACUGCUGUGGCUAGAGUCCAGUAGGGGAGUGUGGAAUUCCCGGUGUAGCGGUGAAAUGCGCAGAUAUCGGGAGGAACACCAGCGGCGAAGGCGGCACUCUGGGCUGGUACUGACGCUGAGGAGCGAAAGCGUGGGUAGCAAACAGG